rnacentral:rRNA from 1 species
UUGGGGACUCUAGCGAGACUGCCAGUGAUAAACUGGAGGAAGGUGGGGAUGACGUCAAAUCAUCAUGCCCCCUUAUGACCUGGGCUACAAACGUGAUACAAUGGCUGGAACAAAGGGAUGCGAAGCAGUGAUGUGGAGCGAAACCCAUAAAAACAGUCUCAGUUCGGAUUGAAGUCUGCAACUCGACUUCAUGAAGUCGGAAUCGCUAGUAAUCGCGGAUCAGCAUGCCGCGGUGAAUACGUUCCCGGGCCUU